CAGGUGGUCAUUCAACACAAACCAUGGAGGAUUUGCAUGUUCUUCAAACAGUAAAACAAAAGGAGGUGGGCUGUCACAUAUUGUCCAGGAGGAAAGAACAGUAGAUGCACAACUUAACACUUUGGAGGGCAAUAUCAACACCACAGGACCCCUAAAUCUUCAAACAUGAGGUCCGCUUCUGAACUUAGAGGAACUUGAUAUGCUGCUGUACUCUUUCCCUGAGGAUGGCAGCCCUCUCAUCAUGCUUGAAGACUUUAACAUCCACCUGGAGAAGCCCUACUGUAUGCUGUGGACCACACACUCACCUUCUUAUUCGACCUUACUCACCUCUCCACCGCUGCCACUCACAGUAUGAGCGCGGCAGUAAUUUUGAAGCACAGAUGCCUGCAGCGAUGGGGAAGAAUACAACACCAUAACCCCCUCUCAGAGGAGCACAGGUGAGACCUGAAGGAGGGCUACCAUUACCAAAGAAGAAAGUCUGUCCUUAUUGCUGUUUAUUUCGCAGUCUGAGCGAGAACUGUCAAAGCCCUGCAUCACACACUUCUGUGAGAUAAUACGCAUGGUUAUUAGACUCUGAAGUUAUUUGGAAAAGAGUAUUAUCUGAUAGAAAAUCCAGUUUUAGAUAGCAGCUGUGUUUUUGGAAACAGCAGUUGG